rnacentral:tRNA from 1 species
AGUGUCAAGGGAUGGGAAUCGAACCCACGACCUUCCGCUUACCGGGCAGAUGCCAUGACCAAUAGGCCACAUGACC